rnacentral:piRNA from 1 species
UUUUUACAGAUAUAGAAAUUU